AGAGUUUGAUCAUGGCUCAGGACGAACGCUGGCGGCGUGCUUAACACAUGCAAGUCGAACGAUGAACCACUUCGGUGGGGAUUAGUGGCGAACGGGUGAGUAACACGUGGGCAAUCUGCCCUUCACUCUGGGACAAGCCCUGGAAACGGGGUCUAAUACCGGAUAGCACUCCUGCCUGCAUGGGUGGGGGUUGAAAGCUCCGGCGGUGAAGGAUGAGCCCGCGGCCUAUCAGCUUGUUGGUGAGGUAGUGGCUCACCAAGGCGACGACGGGUAGCCGGCCUGAGAGGGCGACCGGCCACACUGGGACUGAGACACGGCCCAGACUCCUACGGGAGGCAGCAGUGGGGAAUAUUGCACAAUGGGCGAAAGCCUGAUGCAGCGACGCCGCGUGAGGGAUGACGGCCUUCGGGUUGUAAACCUCUUUCAGCAGGGAAGAAGCGAAAGUGACGGUACCUGCAGAAGAAGCGCCGGCUAACUACGUGCCAGCAGCCGCGGUA
rnacentral:rRNA from 1 species